rnacentral:rRNA from 1 species
CGUCACUAACGCUGAGGUGUGAUGACGAGGCACUACGGUGCUGAAGUGACAAAUGCCCUGCUUCCAGGAAAAGCCUCUAAGCAUCAGGUAACAUCAAAUCGUACCCCAAACCGACACAGGUGGUCAGGUAGAGAAUACCAAGGCGCUUGAGAGAACUCGGGUGAAGGAACUAGGCAAAAUGGUGCCGUAACUUCGGGAGAAGGCACGCUGAUGGUAAGUGAAGCGACUUGCUCGUGGAGCUGAAAUCAGUCGAAGAUACCAGCUGGCUGCAACUGUUUAUUAAAAACACAGCACUGUGCAAACACGAAAGUGGACGUAUACGGUGUGACGCCUGCCCGGUGCCGGAAGGUUAAUUGAUGGGGUUAUCCUCGCGGAGAAGCUCUUGAUCGAAGCCCCGGUAAACGGCGGCCGUAACUAUAACGGUCCUAAGGUAGCGAAAUUCCUUGUCGGGUAAGUUCCGACCUGCACGAAUGGCGUAAUGAUGGCCAGGCUGUCUCCACCCGAGACUCAGUGAAAUUGAACUCGCUGUGAAGAUGCAGUGUACCCGCGGCAAGACGGAAAGACCCCGUGAACCUUUACUAUAGCUUGACACUGAACACUGGUCCUUGAUGUGUAGGAUAGGUGGGAGGCUUUGAAGUGUGGACGCCAGUCUGCAUGGAGCCAUCCUUGAAAUACCACCCUUUAAUGGCUGGUGUUCUAACGUGGGCCCGUAAUCCGGGUUGCGGACAGUGUCUGGUGGGUAGUUUGACUGGGGCGGUCUCCUCCUAAAGAGUAACGGAGGAGCACGAAGGUCAGCUAAUCCUGGUCGGACAUCAGGAGGUUAGUGCAAUGGCAUAAGCUGGCUUGACUGCGAGCGUGACGGCGCGAGCAGGUGCGAAAGCAGGUCAUAGUGAUCCGGUGGUUCUGAAUGGAAGGGCCAUCGCUCAACGGAUAAAAGGUACUCCGGGGAUAACAGGCUGAUACCGCCCAAGAGUUCAUAUCGACGGCGGUGUUUGGCACCUCGAUGUCGGCUCAUCACAUCCUGGGGCUGAAGUAGGUCCCAAGGGUAUGGCUGUUCGCCAUUUAAAGUGGUACGCGAGCUGGGUUUAGAACGUCGUGAGACAGUUCGGUCCCUAUCUGCCGUGGGCGCUGGAGAAUUGAGGGGGGCUGCUCCUAGUACGAGAGGACCGGAGUGGACGCAUCACUGGUGUUCGGGUUGUCAUGCCAAUGGCAUUGCCCGGUAGCUAAAUGCGGAAGAGAUAAGUGCUGAAAGCAUCUAAGCACGAAACUUGCCCCGAGAUGAGUUCUCCCUGACCCUUUAAGGGUCCUGAAGGAACGUUGAAGACGACGACGUUGAUAGGCCGGGUGUGUAAGCGCAGCGAUGCGUUGAGCUAACCGGUACUAAUGAACCGUGAGGCUUAACC